rnacentral:rRNA from 1 species
GACGAACGCUGGCGGCGUGCUUAACACAUGCAAGUCGAACGGAAAGGCCCUGCUUUUGUGGGGUGCUCGAGUGGCGAACGGGUGAGUAACACGUGAGUAACCUGCCCUUGACUUUGGGAUAACUUCAGGAAACUGGGGCUAAUACCGGAUAGGAGCUCCUGCUGCAUGGUGGGGGUUGGAAAGUUUCGGCGGUUGGGGAUGGACUCGCGGCUUAUCAGCUUGUUGGUGGGGUAGUGGCUUACCAAGGCUUUGACGGGUAGCCGGCCUGAGAGGGUGACCGGUCACAUUGGGACUGAGAUACGGCCCAGACUCCUACGGGGGGCAGCAGUGGGGAAUAUUGCACAAUGGGCGGAAGCCUGAUGCAGCAACGCCGCGUGCGGGAUGACGGCCUUCGGGUUGUAAACCGCUUUCGCCUGUGACGAAGCGUGAGUGACGGUAAUGGGGAAAGAAGCACCGGCUAACUACGU